CAUUUAUGUCUUCUCCCUCAAUUCACAGGAACAAACUCAGGAGCAAAACUUCAUCGCAAAAGGUGUAGUGAAAUUAUUAAUAUGUGGUCAAUCAAAGCAACUGCUGAGAGCCAAGAUUCUAACUCUCAACUAUAUGAAAGACGCCAGUCCAGUCUAGAUCCACAAGUAUAUAUGUCAUAUUUUCUUCCUGACCACCCUCCACACUUCAACUUGAAAUCCACAGUGCCUUCCCCCUCAAGCUGCCAGUGAGGUGAAUGCAAUCACCGUUAUCAGCAAUGCUUUGUAUAAGCAACUCACAAACCCUGCUAUGAUGGAUUUACUGCAGUUGAGUGUUGUAGACAACAGGAAGACCAAAUGGAGUGGAGAGAUUGAUAGAAAGAUCAUUUUUCUUCAUCCUAAAUAAAC
rnacentral:lncRNA from 1 species